CUGGUAAAUUAACCGGGCAUGGUGGUGCACACCUAACACAGCAUUUCGGAGGUAGAGGAAGGAGGAUCAGAAGUUCAAAGUUGUCCUUGGCUCCAAAGCGAGUUGAAGGUCAGUCUGGGCUACACAGGCCAGCAAGGAAACAAACAGAAACAGCUUCCUCCAGGAGGGAAGUGGGAGGUGGGGGAAACUUAGCCGGCCAACAGUCACAGGUCUGAGGAAGCUGAAGCAUAUAAGCUUUCCCAGGGUUUUAGAAACAGUGAACGACUGUGGGGUAGGAGACAGUGAGCAGCUGAGUUGUAGAGAGAUUUCUCUGACCUGUGGAGCUGCCGGCAAGGGGUGCAGAAAGCUCCAGGGUUGCAUCUUUUGUGAGCUUCCAUGGGUGUUGGGGUGGGCUUUUUUUGGUGAUAUAGCUGCUUUUGAGUCACCCCUGGUCCUAUAAAUAAUCCAUCACCCAUACUCCUGUUAGUGACCCCAACAAAAGCUCACUGGUUCACCAAGUGGGACGUAGGUACAAUCCUGACUCUGCUUUGUGGUGACUUUUCUUCCUGAGGUAAGUACACUUGUGUUUCCUUCCCCCUCAAGAAAUCUGUCUCGUACAGACAGACAGGCAUACAGACAGAGGGAAACCACCAGCUGGAAGUGGACUGCCCUGGAUGCUGUGGUAAUUCCAUCAGCCUACCUACCAACAUAACUCUUCAGAGCAGUCUGGGGGUCUGAGGUUAUGAAUGAACCUCCCAGCUCAGCAAUCACUUUAAAGAAUAAAUACAGCUUUUGAAAAUAUCUAAUCGCUGGGGAAGUCCUGGUAAUCAAUCAGUCUUGUUAAUCUUUCUUGUUAAAGCUGGAAACAUGCAAAGUCUCUCAGGUCACUAGAUUUUGAAUGGUGGACAUGAUUAAUGUUAAACUUUUGUUUUCUUGUUCAGGAUCUAAAUCAUUCAUAGAGGGGGAUAAAGAAAGAAAGAAAGGAAGAAAGAAAGAAAGGCGAUCAUUGUGCCCUCAACCCCGUUUCUUCCAUCUGUGGCUGGAAUUCAUGUCUUGGAAUUCUCCUAAGAAGAGAAACGUUUCACCGGUCCUGAUCCUGAAAAACAUUAAUUAAAAACCUAUCCUUUUCUGCCAGCCCCAGUGGAGGCAGAGAACAUCCAAGGCUCAGAGAACAGGGGCACAGUAAGGGAUGGCGUCAGUUAACAAUUAGGACAACUUGGCCCCCACACAUGCCCACAGUACCUGUGGAGACCAGAGGAGGUGUCAAAUCCCAUGGAGCUGGAGUUACAGAUAGUUGAGAGCUGUCCACUGUGGAUGCUGGGAACUGAACCUGGGUCUUCUUAACCACUGAGCUGAGAAACUCCUGACUCAGCAUCCUGAUAAGGCCACCUGCCCAACAAAAGACACUAACUCAGUAAGGAGAACAUCUGCUGAACGUUGGUCUUGGGACUAUAAAGAACACAUCCAUUGAUAAAACUUUCCAGUAGUCCCCUCUUCCGUCCUGAGAAGCCCCAAGCCCCCUGUACCAGGGCAUAGUUGCCACUCCCGAGAAGAAACUGGUAUUCUUCGCUGUUCUGGUAUUAAAAGGCAGUCUUCCCCCUCCCCCACUA